rnacentral:rRNA from 1 species
UACGAAGGGGGCUAGCGUUGCUCGGAAUCACUGGGCGUAAAGCGCACGUAGGCGGCCUUUUAAGUCAGAGGUGAAAUCCUGGAGCUCAACUCCAGAACUGCCUUUGAUACUGGAGAGCUUGAGUCCGGGAGAGGUGAGUGGAACUGCGAGUGUAGAGGUGAAAUUCGUAGAUAUUCGCAAGAACACCAGUGGCGAAGGCGGCUCACUGGCCCGGUACUGACGCUGAGGUGCGAAAGCGUGGGGAGCAAACAGG